GGGGACAUAGCUCAGUUGGGAGAGCAACAGACUGAAGUUUCUUGACAUGAGAUGCUCUCUGGAGGUCCCCAGUUCAAUCCUGGGUGUCCCCA